UCUGGGUUCCUCUCUCCGCCCCCCGCUGCCUGGCGCAUAACUUUCCAGCUAGAGAGUGAAGGGAGGGGGGAGGCGGGGGUCGGGGCCGAGGAGCGGUGGAACUUCUCAGAAAAAUAGGUGCCCGCCCACGCAGCCUUGGCGCACUAGCGCUCGGCACUUUGGAUUCUGUAGUCCGGUGUGAGCGCCCCGAGCGGCGACCCGGCUUUGGCCGCCCCCGGGCCCAUAGUGGUGGUGGGGGCGGGGGGGGGGGGUCGUCGGGCGGGAUUUCAGGCAAACGGGUCUCCUUGAAUACCUGGGCGACGUUUGACACUUGUGCACCGAGACCCUUUGCAAAGCCAGAUGAGUCCGACGGGCUCCCGAAACCGAGGUGUGGGUUACAUUUCUGCGGGUGCACCAAUUGCCAUGAGCGCGGCUGCUUAAUGCUUCUGUCAUUGGAAGUCUGGUCUCCAAACCACCGUCUCAAGCCAGCAUGACUCCAGCUGCCUGGAAUUCCAUUCAUCUCUAAGGGCCGGGAUGUCAGCAGCCACACUUCCCCUGCUGUGGCCCUGCACUGUCAGGCUGGCCCUGAGACACAGGACGCAGGUAGUAGCCUCACCAAAUAAGGAGCUGUGCCACAGGCUGGGGAAAGCCCUUUGGUUCACCUUCCUUCUCAGUCCUCACACCUGGCAGGACUCCUAACUGCUGGAAACGCCCACGACUUUGCCUUCAUCACAAGGGCCCUGUCGCUUUUCUUGUGUGGGAGUGUUGUGUGACAACAUGCACGUGUGUGCGGAUUGCGGUAUCCGUGUUUUCUAGUUACUCAGUAUACAUCAAGUGCUUCUGGAAGAUGACAAGUAUGUUCCUAAGACACAUGUUUGUUGGUUGCUCGAAUAAUAACUAAACCUGACAGAUAGAUUUCACGUGUUGAGAGACAGAAAUAAAAGUUUCUAUC